rnacentral:rRNA from 1 species
GCCUACGGCCAUACACCCUGAGAACGCCGAUCUCGUCUGAUCUCGGAGCUAAGCAGGGUCGGGCCCGGUUAGUACUUGGAUGGGAGAGACGCCUGGGAAUACCGGGUGCUGUAGGCU